GAUGAACGCUGGUGGCGUGCCUAAUACAUGCAAGUAGAACGCUGAAGGAGGAGCUUGCUCUUCUGGAUGAGUUGCGAACGGGUGAGUAACGCGUAGGUAACCUGCCUGGUAGCGGGGGAUAACUAUUGGAAACGAUAGCUAAUACCGCAUGACAACAGUUAUUGCAUGAUAACUGUUUAAAAGGGGCAACUGCUCCACUACCAGAUGGACCUGCGUUGUAUUAGCUAGUUGGUGAGGUAACGGCUCACCAAGGCGACGAUACAUAGCCGACCUGAGAGGGUGAUCGGCCCCCCUGGGACUGAGACACGGCCCAGACUCCUACGGGAGGCAGCAGUAGGGGAUCUUCGGCAAUGGACGGAAGUCUGACCGAGCAACGCCGCGUGAGUGAAGAAGGAUUUCGGGUCGUAAAGCUCUGUUGUAAGAGAAGAACGAGUGUGAGAGUGGAAAGUUCACACUGUGACGGUAUCUUACCAGAAAGGGACGGCUAACUACGUG
rnacentral:rRNA from 1 species